rnacentral:lncRNA from 1 species
UCCAGAGUGAGUUACUUAAUAUCAUCCAUAAUGAACAGGAAGCACAUUAUUCUGACUGAGUAUUACUCGCAAUGCAUACUGCAAUUGUUCAUGUACUUAACAGCUAUUAAAAGUAUCCAUAAACCAACAACCGUAAAAGUUCAUCCACGACACCCUAUUUUCCAAACCUGCAAGUUUUCAUGGGAAUGAAUCCUACUGUAGUCUUUUCUUGGGAGAAUUGCAGAGCACACAUACACUAAUAAUGACUUAGGAUGAACCUGUGCCUGUCCAUGUGCAACUCCUGGACAAGAAAGAACCUGUGCAUUUCCA